rnacentral:tRNA from 1 species
GGUAGCUCAGUAGUAGAGUGCUUGCCUUGCAUGCAGGAGGCCCUGGGUUCGAUUCCCCAGUACCA